AAAGCAACGGUCUUUCUUUGUACAGUGAAUCAAUGGACUGCAUUGUGGACAGCACUAGAUUGGAACCAAACUUGUUAGAAAAUACGAACUGCCGUAUCUAUACCAGUGUCAUUCCUUCUUUGUAUACAUACUCUCUGAAUUCAAAGAGGCAGCUUUGCUAAGUCUCUGUCGUUGGCUGACAUCUAAAACCUUUAUCUGAUUUUGCUUUGGUUUUCAUUCCAAGUGCAUACCCUAUUCUGAAAACUCACCAUUAGGGAGAAAAAUCAUCUUGGGAUGUACAAUUUAUGGAUGCAUCUGAGAAGAAAAGAAUGCCAGUGCAGCAUGAACGUCCUGUUCUCUCAUGAUGUAAGAAACUGGGUCCUUGUGAGGUUAAACCACCCUUUCCCCUUGAAACAGCACAUAUUAAGAAUGCAAAGGAGCACAGAUAUGAAAGCAAAACAUCAUCAAGGAGAACAGAAUAUCAGAUGCUCUCAUCUUACUCCUUUUCACUGAGAAGCAUUUCUUCUUCCUCAAUAAAUCUCCAUCAUUACUUUUUUUAAAGCUUCA
rnacentral:lncRNA from 1 species